GGCAAGCUCUUUAGUUAUAAUAUAACCAUCACAAAGAUAUAGGUAACAUGCUGUAAGACCAAUACCCCUCACAGUCCCUUUCGCUGCUAGAGGAAUAUCCGAAUGUGUGAGAACCAACAAAUCAUCUAAGUUAAGGGGUUUAUGUACAAACAAUCAUUCGUCAAUCGGAAAUGCUGCUUCAGAUGUUGAGGAGGUUGUAAGAAUACUAGCAAAGAGAUGACAAAUAAAUUGUGUUCCUAUGGAAAUUUUGAGCUGUACCUGGACUGAAUACUAAGGGGGUGCAUGACAACAUUUCUGUUCCAGAAACUAUUUCUGGAACAGAAAUGAAUUUUUCGAUUUCUAUUUCUGGACGAGUUUCUAAGGAAAAAAAAUUGUUUGAUAACUUAAUAGAAUUUCUAUUUCAAAAAUAGAAAUUCGUUUGAUGAGCCAGAGGAGAGGUAGAGGAGAGGCGGAGGCGGAGGCGGAGCAGAGAGGCGGAGGAGAGGUGGAGCAGAGGCGGAGGAGAGGCGGAGGCGGAGGCGGAGGCGGAGGUGGAGCAAAGAGGCGGAGGCGGAGGCGGAGGCGAAGGCGGAGGCGGAGCAGAGAGGCGGAGCAGAGGCGGAGGAGAGGCGGAGCAGAGGCGGGCGGAG
rnacentral:lncRNA from 1 species